GAGUGGUUGGUUUGUAUGAGAUGGUU
rnacentral:miRNA from 1 species